UCGAGAAUUUUUCACAAUGGGGGAAACCCUGAUGGAGCGACGCCGCGUGGAGGAUGAAGGCCUUCGGGUCGUAAACUCCUGUCAUGCGGGAACAAGAAAGUGAUAGUACCGCAAGAGGAAGAGACGGCUAACUCUGUGCCAGCAGCCGCGGUAAUACAGAGGUCUCAAGCGUUGUUCGGAUUCAUUGGGCGUAAAGGGUGCGUAGGUGGCGAUGCAAGUCUGGUGUGAAAUCUCAGGGCUUAACCUUGAAAAUGCACCGGAUACUGCGUUGCUUGAGGAUUGUAGAGGAGAGUGGAAUUCACGGUGUAGCAGUGAAAUGCGUAGAUAUCGUGAGGAAGACCAGUUGCGAAGGCGACUCUCUGGGCAACUCCUGACACUGAGGCACGAAGGCUAGGGGAGCAAACGGG
rnacentral:rRNA from 2 species